rnacentral:rRNA from 1 species
AACGAACGUUGGCGGCGUGGAUUAGGCAUGCAAGUCGAACGAAUCCCGGUAGCAAUACCGGGGGAAGUGGCGAAAGGGGCAGUAAUGCGUGGCUAACCUACCCCGGGGACGGGCAUAGCCAUCCUAACGGAUGGGUAAUACCUGGCGAUGCGGCGGAGGGGCAUCUCUUUGCCGUGAAACGAGUUUCGCCUCGGGAGGGGGUCACGUGCUAUUACCUGGUUGGCGGGGUAACGGCCCACCAAGGGGAAGAUGGCUAGCGGGUGUGAGAGCACGACCCGCGCCACUGGCACUGAGACACUGGCCAGACUCCUACGGGAGGCUGCAGUCGAGGAUCUUCGGCAAUGGGCGCAAGCCUGACCGAGCGACGCCGCGUGUGCGAUGAAGGCCUUCGGGUUGUAAAGCACUGUCGAGGGGGAGGAAGCCCGCAAGGGUUGACCUAUCCCUGGAGGAAGCACGGGCUAAGUUCGUGCCAGCAGCCGCGAGUAAAC